GAUUUUAUUUUCUUUGCUUGUGGUGCAUCCUAAUCCCAUUAAACCUUAAACUCUCAAGUUACCCGGGAUUAAUUCCUAAUUAGAGUUCAACUAGGUUUUCCAUCUUUAUGGGACAAGAAAUCCUCCUCGACGAGAUUAGUCCCGCCUACCUUUGGAGCACGUUGACCGGGCCCAACUGUCUGAUCCGGUGAGCCUAGUCCGACUUUGCAUA
rnacentral:lncRNA from 1 species